GAUGAACGCUGGCGGCGUGCUUAACACAUGCAAGUCGAACGAGGAAUUUUAAAUGAGACUUCGGUGGAUUUUGAAAUUCUUAGUGGCGGACGGGUGAGUAACGCGUGGGCAACCUGCCCUGUACAGGGGGACAACAGCUGGAAACGGCUGCUAAUACCGCAUAAGCGCACAGCAUCGCAUGAUGCCGUGUGAAAAACUCCGGUGGUACAGGAUGGACCCGCGUUGGAUUAGGUAGUUGGUGAGGUAACGGCCCACCAAGCCGACGAUCCAUAGCCGACCUGAGAGGGUGACCGGCCACAUUGGGACUGAGACACGGCCCAAACUCCUACGGGAGGCAGCAGUGGGGAAUAUUGCACAAUGGGGGAAACCCUGAUGCAGCGACGCCGCGUGAGCGAAGAAGUAUUUCGGUAUGUAAAGCUCUAUCAGCAGGGAAGAAAAUGACGGUAC
rnacentral:rRNA from 1 species